rnacentral:lncRNA from 1 species
UUUAUCUUAUAAUGUGGUGAUUAAAAUAGCUUUUGUGUUCUUCCUCGGAGGGAACAAAAAAUAAUUUUUCUGAUGGCAGGAGAAACUACUAUACUAUGAAACCAGUACAAAAUGUGAGGACAUUUUAGGCUGAUGAUGCCACUGGCAGCUCAAAGAUGAGUCUAUGUGGGUGUGGUACACAGGGUGCUGCACUUGUAGUAAAGGGACCCAGAUUCUAGUCCUGACUCUUCCACUUUCUGCUCCGGGUGACUCUGGAUGACUAAAGUUCCUUGUUGGGCUUCAUUUUCCUCAUUUGUAAAAUGAGAGAGUUGGAUUAGGGAUCUUGAAAGUCUCUUAUAGUCCUAAAAUUCUAUGAUCCUGUGAUAUGCCUUCUCCAAUUUAAGGGGAAAUUUUUUUUUUUGGUAUUUUGUAAAAAGAAAAUAAUUUUCAAAAAGAAGCUAUGGAAAUCAGAGGAAUCCAGGCAAAGGACUUUGGUCUUGACAUUUGAAAAUGGAGAUGAAAAUUCAAAAAUCACAAAGGAUAUUGCUUUCCAUCACUGCUCCUUUGCAUUGGUUUAUCAUGUUGUGAAAGGAGAUAGAUAUUACAUACACUGGGGAAAAAUUCAUGGAGGAAAUCAAGUGAAGAAUGACUCUUCUGGGAAUAUGGAGGUGGGACACAUGGCUCAGUUUGUGAUCAGGAACCAUCAGGGGUUCUCCAGAGUCACCAAGAUAAAGGAGAGGAAAUUGAGACGUGAAGAGAGUUGGCCAAGAUUAUAGUGAUAGAAAACAAGAAGACUGAAAUUAAACGUAUGAAACCUCUGACUCCAAAUCUGAUGCUCUUUUCACUAAAGCAAGCUGCAGUUCACUCAGGACCACUCUGUGCAAUUCUGGGAGGAUAUAGAGCCUAGUCGGGGGGAGGGAAAGGGAGAAAGGAGGAGGGUAGAGAGAAAGGGAGAGAAAAGGGAGGGAGAGGCAAAGAGACAAAGGAGAACACUACAGAAGGGGUGUCCUGGGCCCCAUAAUAACUCCAGGUCGUAUGCUCUUAAAGGCCAUUAUGAAACAGUGCAGAUGAGAUCUCAUUUAUGAUUUUCCCAUCAGACUAAUGCAGUGAUUGGGUGAGGUGGGGUGGUAGUGACUGGCUGGAAAUCUCCCUGAGCAGUUGGAAGGGGAUUAUAAUGCUGAGUCGACCUCAUCUCUGUAAUAAAAAAAAGGGGGAGUUAUGUUUAUCA